UAAGAACUUAGAAUGCUGUCCUGAAGGAAUGAUUAUGAAAUCACCCCCUGCCUUCCACCUCUCACCCGGUCUUACAGGAUUUCUGCGUUAUUCAAAUGGGCGUACUAAAAUAAUGUGAAUACAAUGUGGGCUCCGAAGCGCUGAAGGGGAGGGUUAAUGAAACUGCUAAUAUAGAAAGCAAACGUGGGACCAGCUGCUCCAGAGUGCACGUGAAACCAUUUUCCCUCACAAGGAGCAGAAGCUUUGGGACAUAAGCAAACAGCGAUGUGGGUCCUUAGACCUCAAGAGGUUAAGUGGAGAGCUGGAGAAGGCUGGAAAAAAGAUACCAAAGCACCUGCUACUGGUGCCAUUAUUAUGGACGAAUAUGAGAUAAAGAGAUGGAAACAACGGGGUAUGCAGUAGAAAGAUGGACCAGAAAGCAGAGCCAAGAGGUAUUGGCCAGCUGUUCUGCUACUCUACAGAGUACUGGGCUGAAGAAAAAUGAUCUCAACAGACUGGAGGUAUCAAUGAAAUGUAACCCAAUAAAGCUUGAUUCUGAGGGGAGAGAAUGAAGGUCCUGUCUCCUUAAUAAGCAACAAAAAAUGGAAAGUUUCUGCAUUAAUUCUUCUCCUCGAAUGAUCCCUCAAGAAGAAAACUUGCCUCCCAGAAGU
rnacentral:sRNA from 1 species